rnacentral:rRNA from 1 species
AACGAACGCUGGCGGCAGGCCUAACACAUGCAAGUCGAGCGCUACCUUCGGGUGGAGCGGCGGACGGGUUAGUAACGCGUGGGAACAUACCCUUCCCUAAGGAAUAGCCACUGGAAACGGUGAGUAAUACCUUAUACGCCCUUCGGGGGAAAGAUUUAUCGGAGAAGGAUUGGCUCGCGUAAGAUUAGAUAGUUGGUGGGGUAAUGGCCUACCAAGUCUACGAUCUUUAGCUGGUUUUAGAGGAUGAUCAGCAACACUGGGACUGAGACACGGCCCAG